AAGAGUUUAUAGUAGAAAUCUACAUCAAAAAACUUUGGACAUGGUCACACCUUCGCACCACAGCCAUGAAAGUGUGCCACCAUUGGAGAAUGAGAGCUUGAGUGUUGACGUCGAACAACAAGAAGAUGAAGGUAUUGCAUCUAGUGCUGAAAUUGUUGAAAAGCAAAGUAGAGGCCCUACGUAUAUG